ensembl:lncRNA
GAGGUUAGAUGAUAUUGACUGUCACACAGCAGAUGCUACCGGUGGACCUUCAAGUUUGACCUUCUUUAUUCCCUCUCCAUUACUCUGAAAUACCUCUAUUUCUAUAGAAAAAUUAACAGGGUUUCCUGGUCUAUCUAGGAUCAAAUUGAAAGAGGAAAUUCCUACACAUACCAGAGACAGACUUCAAGACUCAGACUGUCCUGGUGGCUCUCCUGCCUCCUGCACUCCUGCAUUCCCCCACUGAAACCAAGACCUAUUCCAGAGGACCAUCAGAGGACUCCCAGGUGAAGGAGAUAGUAACAGACUAUUCUCGUGGUGAUUAUUCUGCUGAAACCAAGGCUGAUCCUAAGACCUCCAGAAAGCUAAACAGAACAUUACACUCCAUCUUUCUAUCUUUCUAUAUCUAUAUAUAGAUAUCUAUAUCUAUAUCUAUAUCUUUUAUCUAUGUAUCUCCCUGUUUUUUCUAUUGUCUAUAAUUUAAUAUAGUGCCUAUUGCAGUAAGUAGAGAAUUCACAAUAAAAAAAUAAAGUGCCACAUUUUGAAUAAAAAGAAACUUUCUUAAAAUGUAUUUCCUAACACCGGGAAAUGAAUGUGGACUGCUUGCAUUUUGUUCUUCCCAGGUUAUUUUUACCUUUCUAAAUCCAGAUUUUUCUUGUGCAACAAGAGAACUGUAUA